rnacentral:lncRNA from 1 species
UCCGGGGCGGGUCCCAAACAAGCCCCGCCCUCACUUCCGCCUCCAGGCAAAGCCGAACUAGCAGUCCCGGCGCUUGGACUUGCUGGGCUUGUUAACCGCGGGCUGUGGUAGGCGUCAGGCCGGGCGUCGGGCGCUUGUGCGCCAGCCCGAAAUUCCUGGGUCCGGUUGCGGUCCGGGUGCUUGACCUGGCAUGUUGAAUUGCGCUGGAGAAAAGCUUCCAGUGCUCACUGCUGUCGAUAUUUUAGGAACCUCAGCAACGAGAUGAAGUCAGGCCCGGCGCGGUGGCGCACGUCUGUAAUCCCAGCAAUUUGGGAGGCUGAGGCAGGAGGAUCGCGAGUUCAGAACCAGCCUCAGCAACCACGAGGCGCUAAGCAACUCAGUGAGCCUCUGUCUCUAAAUAAAAUACAAAAUAGGGCUGGGGAGGUGGCUCAGUGGUUGAGUGCCCUGAGUUCAGUCCCCAGUAUCCCGGUAUUCCCCCCCCACCACCACCACCAAAGAAAAGAAAUUAAGACAGAACAUAGUUCAUUCUUUGGGAAGUUACCAGAAGAUUAUCAGCCUUCAACCGGAUAAACGCCUUUAGCUGAACGCCCUGGUGCAUGUCUGUAAUCCCAGCGACUCCAAGGCUUUGGCAGGAGGAUCCAAAGUUCCAGAUCAGCCUGGGCGACGUAGCAAGAACCUGUCUCAAAAUUUUAGAAAGACUGGGGAUGUAGUUCAGGGGAAGUGCUACCCUAGCAUGCUUGAAGCCUAGGUUCAAUCUCCAGCACGGAAAAUAUAUUAAUAAAAGCAAUAUAGAAAUAAAAAGGCUUACUCCAGAUUUACUACUUAGUAAAUAUUGUUUGCAUAAUGGGACUCCAUUGAAGCAAGGUUAAAGACAGGCAGUCAAUAUAGAUAGGUAAUCAGACAGAGAAUGGUUUGGGUCUGGGAAGUUGAAGGCUGCCUCUGGGGCAUUGAAAUGUUAAUGCCUGCAGAGUCCUUCCUCUACCUUUACCAAGAUAACUUUCUCCUGCUCCAACCUGUAGCUAAGGUAACCUGUUGCAGGAAUUGUUCCUUCCUGAAGGGAAUUGUAAAAGUUGUUAAAGAAUGCCUUCUGGGCUGCUCCUUCCUGCCUGGAUCACUCCACCUUUGGCCAUUCUCCCUUGUACAUUUACUUCUCAGCUUUUGGCCAUCCCAAGGCAUCUCCUGGACCAAGUCAAGUGCGUCUGGGAAAACAGAACUCAGCAUUGGUAAUCAGCAAAGGUAACUCAGCAAAGGUAUCACUACCUUUACUACUCUUCUGCAGUUUGCAUCUUAUCAUGUAUUUUAACUUGAGACUCGUAAAUGUUAAGUAUUUUUAAAUUAAUGAAUGUCAGGGACUAGAAGGAAAUUCUCCUUCAAAGAUUAGCCUGACAGCCCCCUGGGAGACAUCCUGCCUGGGAGGCAUCCUGCAGCUACCUAUCUCCCUGGAACAUCCUGCGGUUAUCAGGAUCUUCAGACAUCUUGCAACUGGCAGUUUUACCACCCACAUCCAGCAAUUGUUGAUUAGAGAGCUUCCCCAUCCCCAGCAUAUAAAUACC